GACGAACGCUGGCGGCGUGCUUAACACAUGCAAGUCGAACGGAAAGGCCCUGCUUUUGUGGGGUGCUCGAGUGGCGAACGGGUGAGUAACACGUGAGUAACCUGCCCUUGACUUUGGGAUAACUUCAGGAAACUGGGGCUAAUACCGGAUAGGAGCUCCUGCUGCAUGGAGGGGGUUGGAAAGUUUCGGCGGUUGGGGAUGGACUCGCAGCUUAUCAGCUUGUUGGUGGGGUAGUGGCUUACCAAGGCUUUGACGGGUAGCCGGCCUGAGAGGGUGACCGGCCACAUUGGGACUGAGAUACGGCCCAGACUCCUACGGGAGGCAGCAGUGGGGAAUAUUGCACAAUGGGCGGAAGCCUGAUGCAGCAACGCCGCGUGCGGGAUGACGGCCUUCGGGUUGUAAACCGCUUUCGCCUGUGACGAAGCGUGAGUGACGGUAAUGGGUAAAGAAGCACCGGCUAACUACGUG
rnacentral:rRNA from 1 species